GUACCUACGGGAGGCAGCAGUCGAGAAUCAUUCACAAUGGGGGAAACCCUGAUGGUGCGACGCCGCGUGAGUGAAGAAGUAUUUCGGUAUGUAAAGCUCUAUCAGCAGGGAAGAAGAAAGACGGUACCUGACUAAGAAGCCCCGGCUAACUACGUGCCAGCAGCCGCGGUAAUACGUAGGGGGCAAGCGUUAUCCGGAUUUACUGGGUGUAAAGGGAGCGUAGACGGCUGUGCAAGUCUGAAGUGAAAGCACAGGGCUCAACCCUGGGACUGCUUUGGAAACUGUGGAGCU
rnacentral:rRNA from 1 species